rnacentral:rRNA from 1 species
CUGUGCAAAGGUAGCAUAAUCAUUAGUUUUUUAAUUGAAAGCUGGAAUGAAUGGUUUAAUAAGAAAAAUUCUGUCUCAUUUUUAAGUUUAAAAUUUUAUUUUUAAGUUAAAAAGCUUAAAUUUAUUAAAAAGACGAGAACACCCUUUAGAGUUUUAUAAGAAAAAAUUGAUUAUUAUUUAGAUUUAAAUUUAAAAUUGGUUUUUAUUAUUUUAUUGGGGUGAUUUAAAAAUUUAAGUAACUUUUUAUUUAUUUUAUCAUUAAUUUAUGUAUAAAUGAUCUUGAUUUUUGGAUUAUAAGAAUAAUUACCUUAGGGAUAACAGCGUAAUUUUUUUUGAGAGUUCUUAUCGAAAAAGAAGUUUGCGACCUCGAUGUUGGAUUAAAAUUAAAUUUUGCCGUAGAAGUUAAAAAUUUAGGUCUGUUCGACCUUUAAAAUU